rnacentral:rRNA from 1 species
CAAUAGCGUAUAUUAAAGUUGUUGCAGUUAAAAAGCUCGUAGUUGGAUUUCUGGUGGGAGCGAUCGGUCUGGCGCUUAGCGCGAGUACUUGCAUCGUCUCCGGCCAUCCUUGGGGAGAGUCUGUCUGGCAUUAGGUUGUCGGGCAGAGGAUCCUCAUCGUUUACUGUGAAAAAAUUAGAGUGUUCAAAGCAGGCUUAUGCCGUUGAAUAUAUUAGCAUGGAAUAAUAAGAUAGGACUUUGGUACUAUUUUGUUGGCUUCUAGGGCUAAGAUAAUGAUUAAUAGGGACAAUUGGGGGCAUUCGUAUUAACGCGUCAGAGGUGAAAUUCUUGGAUUGCGUUACGACGAACUACUGCGAAANCANNNGCCAAGGAUGUUUUCAUNGA